rnacentral:rRNA from 1 species
UACGGGGGGGGCAAGCGUUGUUCGGAAUUACUGGGCGUAAAGGGCGCGUAGGCGGCGGGGUAAGUCGGGUGUGAAAUCUCAGAGCUCAACUCUGAAACUGCACUCGAUACUGCUUUGCUAGAGGACUGGAGAGGAGAUUGGAAUUCACGGUGUAGCAGUGAAAUGCGUAGAGAUCGUGAGGAAGACCAGUGGCGAAGGCGGAUCUCUGGACAGUUCCUGACGCUGAGGCGCGAAGGCCAGGGGAGCAAACGGG